CAGCAGCCGCGGUAAUUCGGAGGGGGCUAGCGUUGUUCGGAAUUACUGGGCGUAAAGCGCACGUAGGCGGACUGGAAAGUCAGAGGUGAAAUCCCAGGGCUCAACCUUGGAACUGCCUUUGAAACUAUCAGUCUGGAGUUCGAGAGUGGUGAGCGGAAUUCCGAGUGUAGAGGUGAAAUUCGUAGAUAUUCGGAGGAACACCAGUGGCGAAGGCGGCUCACUGGCUCGAUACUGACGCUGAGGUGCGAAAGCGUGGGGAGCAAACAGGAUUAGAUACCCGAGUAGUCCCUGUCUCUUAUAC
rnacentral:rRNA from 1 species